AUUGAACGCUGGCGGCAUGCCUUACACAUGCAAGUCGAACGGUAACAGGUCUUCGGAUGCUGACGAGUGGCGAACGGGUGAGUAAUAUAUCGGAACGUGCCCAGUCGUGGGGGAUAACGCAGCGAAAGCUGUGCUAAUACCGCAUACGAUCUAUGGAUGAAAGCGGGGGAUCGCAAGACCUCGCGCGAUUGGAGCGGCCGAUAUCAGAUUAGGUAGUUGGUGGGGUAAAGGCCCACCAAGCCAACGAUCUGUAGCUGGUCUGAGAGGACGACCAGCCACACUGGAACUGAGACACGGUCCAGACUCCUACGGGAGGCAGCAGUGGGGAAUUUUGGACAAUGGGCGCAAGCCUGAUCCAGCAAUGCCGCGUGCAGGAUGAAGGCCUUCGGGUUGUAAACUGCUUUUGUACGGAACGAAAAGGACUCUGGUUAAUACCUGGGGCUCGAUGACGGUACCGUAAGGAAUAAGCACCGGCUAACUACGUGCC
rnacentral:rRNA from 1 species